GUAACACAUCUCCUUGCAAAAGAGAAGAUGCGGGUUCGAUU
rnacentral:tRNA from 1 species